GGUGCUGGGUGUUGCGCCAGCCGUGCCUCAAUGAAGGAUCUUCAUUCAACAGCUUUCUCUUCCCGUCACACCAGUCAAUGCGACUCCUGCGUUUUCCAGCACCAUUCUCUGCGCAGUCCAGACUUUAGCCAAGCCUUCAUUGGUGGGCAGAAAGGCUACCAGGCCUACCGGGACCUACCAUGGGAUCUGCAAAAAAUUCAUCAGUCAGCCAUCAAAAUAAGACAUCUUGAGCCCUGGAAAAUCGCUGUAAUUGUUAUUGGAACAGCGUUGGCAGUAGCUAUCACCAUUGGUCUCCUAGUUUAUUUUCUGGCAUAUGAUCAGAAGCUGUUCUAUUACAGUGCCAAUGUAAAAAUCACCAACAUCCGGUACAAUAAUGAAUUUUCCAGACAGUCCUCAGGAAGGUUUAGAGACCUGAGCGAGAGGGUUGAGAGACUGGUAAGUCUGGAUCAUUGUGCCUUUCCAUUAAGGACUGUGUGAUAAUACAGGAGUCAUUAAUGUG
rnacentral:lncRNA from 1 species